rnacentral:rRNA from 1 species
UACAGAGGGUGCGAGCGUUAAUCGGAAUUACUGGGCGUAAAGCGCGCGUAGGCGGCUUUGUAAGUCGGAUGUGAAAUCCCCGGGCUUAACCUGGGAACUGCAUUCGAGACUGCAUUGCUAGAGUAUGGGAGAGGGAAGUGGAAUUUCAGGUGUAGCGGUGAAAUGCGUAGAUAUCUGAAGGAACAUCAGUGGCGAAAGCGACUUCCUGGACCAAUACUGACGCUCAUGUGCGAAAGCGUGGGGAGCAAACAGG